AACGCAAGGACGGCGUGGAUAUAGAACAAAUCCAGAAAGGUGGCCCCCACGUUAAAGUGCCGCACCAUCUCGGGUGAGGUCGGUGCCGCACACCUAAUCCGCUCCCUCCGCACAUCCAUGAGAGAACGCGGAAUCGACGCCCCUAUCGUACUCCAAGAGCCAUCCAAAACAAUAAACGACGAGUUUAGAAAGUUAUAAGAACCGAGUCUUCUUUCUUUCUCCCUCCCACCCACGGCUUCCGUACAACGAGGAGAAGAGAAGAGAAAAUCCCUUUCAUUUCUCUUCCUUUCUCUUGCAUCUCUUUCUUCUCUUUCUAUUCUUCAAAGGAUUUCAGCUCGUCUGAACCGGAGACCUGGAUAACCAUGGUUCUAGACAGUUUAUCAUCCCUCAGAAAAUCCCAAAACCCAUUCGCUGCACUUUCGCCUUCAUUCAGGAGAUCACUCCACGGUGGUGAUGAAUUGGGUAGUUGGUCCACCAUCUAUCGGCGGCACCGAUUUCUCAUAAAGACGAUGGUCCUCUUGGCUGUCCUAUGCACUAUUUACCUCUAUUUUGCAGUCACCUUUGAGGCCAGCGAGUCAGAGUCGUGUUCCGGGUUGACAGGAACCGAAGAGGCAUUGUGUCGGGUGAGACAGGCAAAGGACUCCAUGACUGGAACAGGGAAAUUGAAAUUCUGUUAGCGGAAAAACGAAAAUGAUCUUUGACUAAUAGGUGUUUGGGCUAUAUUCACAAGGUCUGGAUGCCCCCCUUAUUUUUCAAUUCAAUUAUUCAUACCAAAGAAUGUUGUUGUAAAUAUCUAUAUAUGUAUCUUCAGGUUUUCUAUGUUUACACUUCAAGAUUGUAUUGUAAUUGUUUGAACUUAGGUGUUUGAUUUCUCAAAUUCCUCUAUAAAUGUAUAAAUGCAAGGAAAUAAAUCAUUAUUA